AAGGAUCAUUAUCGAGUUUUGAACGGGUUGUCUGCUGGCUCGCAAGGGCAUGUGCACGCCUGUCUCAUCCACUCUCAACUUCUGUGCACUUUUCAUAGGCCGGCUUGUGGGUGCGUUCGCGCACUUGUAGGUGUCGGGCUUAUGCUUUACUACAAACGAUUCAGUUUUAGAAUGUCAUACUUUGCUAUAACGCAAUUUAUAUACAACUUUCAGCAACGGAUCUCUUGGCUCUCGCAUCGAUGAAGAACGCAGCGAAAUGCGAUAAGUAAUGUGAAUUGCAGAAUUCAGUGAAUCAUCGAAUCUUUGAACGCACCUUGCGCUCCUUGGUAUUCCGAGGAGCAUGCCUGUUUGAGUCUCAUGGAAUUCUCAACCUUCGGCUUUAUUGACGAAGGCUUGGACUUGGAGGUCGUGCCGGCUCUCGUAGUCGGCUCCUCUGAAAUGCAUUAGUGCGAACGUUACCAGCCGCUUCAGCGUGAUAAUUAUCUGCGUUGCUGUGGAGGGUAUUCUAGUGUUCGCGCUUCUAACCGUCUUCGGACAAAUUUCUGAACUCUGAGC
rnacentral:rRNA from 1 species